rnacentral:rRNA from 1 species
CCUACGGGUGGCUGCAGUGAGGAAUAUUGGUCAAUGGCCGAGAGGCUGAACCAGCCAAGUCGCGUGAGGGAAGACGGCCCUACGGGUUGUAAACCUCUUUUGUCGGGGAGCAAAGUGAACCACGUGUGGCUCAUUGAGAGUACCCGAAGAAAAAGCAUCGGCAAACCCCGUGCCAGCAGCCGCGGUAAGACGGGGGAGGCGGUAGUUAUCCGGAUUUAUUGGGUUAAAGGGGUGCGCAGGCGGAGGUGCAAGUCAGCGGUCAAAUUGCGGGGCUCAACCCCGUACUGCCGUUGAAACUGCAUCCCUUGAGUGCGCGAGAGGUAUGCGGAAUGCGUGGUGUAGCGCUGAAAUGCAUAGAUAUCGCGAAGAACUCCGAUUGCGAAGGCAGCAUACCGGCGCGCAACUGACGCUCAUGCACGAAAGCGUGGGUAUCGAACAGGAUUAGAUACCCGUGUAGUC